rnacentral:rRNA from 1 species
UCCUACGGGAGGCAGCAGUGAGGAAUAUUGGUCAAUGGGCGAGAGCCUGAACCAGCCAAGUCGCGUGAGGGAGUACUGCCCUAUGGGUUGUAAACCUCUUUUGUCGGGGAGCAAAAGCCGGACGUGUCCGUCUGUGAGAGUACCCGAAGAAAAAGCAUCGGCUAACUCCGUGCCAGCAGCCGCGGUAGUACGGAGGAUGCGAGCGUUAUCCGGAUUUAUUGGGUUUAAAGGGUGCGUAGGCGGACAGUCAAGUCAGCGGUAAAAAUGCGGUGCUCAACGCCGUACAGCCGUUGAAACUGGCAGUC